GGUUUAACGGGCACACCCGCCUUGCCUCUAUUGUCACCGGCCCGAGAGGAAGAUCUCUUUUAAACAUGGAGGAAGAGAAAAACGACAAAGGAUGGUGAAAAAUCCUCCCCCUCCUCCUCCUGCAGACUCCACCUUCCUCCUGGACUCAGUGGAAAGAGAUGAAGUCAUUUUACUUCAUUCCAUCUCUGGGAUCACCCACCGCACUGAUGCAGUCUUUGGCUUUUAUAUAACACUGAUGUGACUCCGUCUGCACGGGGAAUACCAUUGCCUCAUGGCUGAGCUGCAAAUCUUUCCAGUUGUGGCGACUGAAUCCUGCUCAAAUAUAUUAAAGAGCUUUCCCAGAA